GAUAUCCACUUUUCUAGUACCAUUUGUCGAGAAAGCUAUCUUUACCUUGACACCUUUGUCAAAAAUCACCUGUGGUUAAUCCAGUGCUGGAGAUAAGCAGGAGGUGCUCUGGGUGCCUUGAGAAGGGGGCACCCAAUUAAUCCAGCCAGGUCUAGUCCAGGAAGCCUUCCCAGAGGGGCAACAAAGGAAUCCAGGCAGAGGGUCUGUUGGUAGCUUAGAGUUGUGUUUUUGUGGAUUGUGUAGGUAUAGCGGGGUGUGGGGAAGACGUAGAGCUAGAAGUAG
rnacentral:lncRNA from 10 species